rnacentral:rRNA from 1 species
GACGUAGGGGGCAAGCGUUGUUCGGAAUUAUUGGGCGUAAAGCGCUCGUAGGCGGGACAGGAAGUUCGUGUUGAAAGACCUCGGCUCAACUGAGGGACCGGCUCGAAUACUCUUGUUCUUGAGGCAAUCAGAGGGUGAUGGAAUUCCCGGUGUAGCGGUGAAAUGCGUAGAUAUCGGGAGGAACGCCAGUGGCGAAGGCGAUCACCUGGGGUUGUUCUGACGCUGAGGAGCGAAAGCUAGGGGAGCAAACGGG